AAAUUGAAGAGUUUGAUCAUGGCUCAGAUUGAACGCUGGCGGCAGGCCUAACACAUGCAAGUCGAACGGUAACAGGAAGCAGCUUGCUGCUUUGCUGACGAGUGGCGGACGGGUGAGUAAUGUCUGGGAAACUGCCUGAUGGAGGGGGAUAACUACUGGAAACGGUGGCUAAUACCGCAUAAUGUCGCAAGACCAAAGAGGGGGACCUUCGGGCCUCUUGCCAUCAGAUGUGCCCAGAUGGGAUUAGCUUGUUGGUGAGGUAACGGCUCACCAAGGCGACGAUCCCUAGCUGGUCUGAGAGGAUGACCAGCCACACUGGAACUGAGACACGGUCCAGACUCCUACGGGAGGCAGCAGUGGGGAAUAUUGCACAAUGGGCGCAAGCCUGAUGCAGCCAUGCCGCGUGUAUGAAGAAGGCCUUCGGGUUGUAAAGUACUUUCAGCGGGGAGGAAGGUGUUGCGGUUAAUAACCGCAGCAAUUGACGUUACCCGCAGAAGAAGCACCGGCUAACUCCGUGCCAGCAGCCGCGGUAAUACGGAGGGUGCAAGCGUUAAUCGGAAUUACUGGGCGUAAAGCGCACGCAGGCGGUCUGUCAAGUCGGAUGUGAAAUCCCCGGGCUCAACCUGGGAACUGCAUUCGAAACUGGCAGGCUUGAGUCUUGUAGAGGGGGGUAGAAUUCCAGGUGUAGCGGUGAAAUGCGUAGAGAUCUGGAGGAAUACCGGUGGCGAAGGCGGCCCCCUGGACAAAGACUGACGCUCAGGUGCGAAAGCGUGGGGAGCAAACAGGAUUAGAUACCCUGGUAGUCCACGCCGUAAACGAUGUCUACUUGGAGGUUGUGCCCUUGAGGCGUGGCUUCCGGAGCUAACGCGUUAAGUAGACCGCCUGGGGAGUACGGCCGCAAGGUUAAAACUCAAAUGAAUUGACGGGGGCCCGCACAAGCGGUGGAGCAUGUGGUUUAAUUCGAUGCAACGCGAAGAACCUUACCUGGUCUUGACAUCCACAGAACUUUCCAGAGAUGGAUUGGUGCCUUCGGGAACUGUGAGACAGGUGCUGCAUGGCUGU
rnacentral:rRNA from 1 species